AGUCAUGUACUCAGAGCUGUGUUCAUCUCGCAGUGGGGUGUAGUGGGGAUUGGAGCGAGAGGGUGGUCCUCAAAAGUCCUCAAAGUCAUGGCUGAUCAGUCCUUACAGCCAUAACUAGCCCUGACACUGCCUCAGUUUCCAGACAUAGGAUGUGACUCAUUUGAAAUCCAAUUGCUUUACUUCCCACCAAAGCUCUAGGAGAACUCAAAUUGGUGGGAGAGAUGGUGGGUCACCCAGUAUCAAACUGACCAAACUCCUACAGCCAGAAUAAUGGCCCUUUGUCCCUCUGGCCUCCUCAUCAGCUUCCCUCUGUAUUGAGUGUCCAGGCGGCUGCCAGCCAAAUUGCCUGUGUGACUUUCCCAGGCUUCAGAAUGCUCCCUUUCCCUCCUUCCAUUGCCUCCCACACUGGCCCCAGAGACACAGGGCAGCCACAUAGUAGAUUCAGGCAGCUGUGGGAUGUGAAUCACGAGACAUUCUCAGUGGUGACCCAGUGAAAGGUCUUGGAGAAGCCCCCUCCCUGCUGCCCAAUUUACCCUCACUGUGGAAGCUCCUGUCCUCACUACAAAUUUAAAAGGAAAGAAUUUUGAAGGCAACUCUGUCAAUGGAUGCA
rnacentral:lncRNA from 1 species